rnacentral:rRNA from 1 species
GACGAACGCUGGCGGCGUGCUUAACACAUGCAAGUCGAACGGAAAGGCCCUGCUUUUGUGGUGUGCUCGAGUGGCGAACGGGUGAGUAACACGUGAGUAACCUGCCCUUGACUUUGGGAUAACUUCAGGAAACUGGGUCUAAUACCGGAUAGGAGCUCCUGCUGCAUGGUGGGGGUUGGAAAGUUUCGGCGGUUGGGGAUGGACUCGCGGCUUAUCAGCUUGUUGGUGGGGUAGUGGCUUACCAAGGCUUUGACGGGUAGCCGGCCUGAGAGGGUGACCGGCCACAUUGGGACUGAGAUACGGCCCAGACUCCUACGGGAGGCAGCAGUGGGGAAUAUUGCACAAUGGGCGGAAGCCUGAUGCAGCAACGCCGCGUGCGGGAUGACGGCCUUCGGGUUGUAAACCGCUUUCGCCUGUGACGAAGCGUGAGUGACGGUAAUGGGUAAAGAAGCACCGGCUAACUACGUG